rnacentral:tRNA from 1 species
CUGGUAGUUCAGUUGGUUAGAACGCUAGCCUGUCACGCUAGAGGUCGAGGGUUCAAAUCCCUCUGUCA